rnacentral:lncRNA from 1 species
UUUAGAUCGGGACAUCCAGCUGCCACCAGAUUCCUUGCAGGGUGAGGGAACUGGGCUUCUCCAGUACAAAUGGGGGCCCUCCUAAUUAUUUGGAUCAGUUCGUCCUUAGUGACAGCGAUGUCUGUGAGCGCUUCUGUGCCUGGCAGCAACAUCGUCAGUCUGAUCCCAAAAGAUAACCCCAGCUGGUGUCACAAGACUGGCCAGCACACCCACUGAGACAUCUCGCUGCCCCAUUUCUCUUUGGAUGCUCCGUGAAAGGAGAUGCUUUUCUG